UGGGGAAUUUUGGACAAUGGGGGAAACCCUGAUCCAGCCAUCCCGCGUGUGCGAUGAAGGCCUUCGGGUUGUAAAGCACUUUUGGCAGGAAAGAAACGUCGCGGGUUAAUACCCCGCGAAACUGACGGUACCUGCAGAAUAAGCACCGGCUAACUACGUGCCAGCAGCCGCGGUAAUACGUAGGGUGCAAGCGUUAAUCGGAAUUACUGGGCGUAAAGCGUGCGCAGGCGGUUCGGAAAGAAAGAUGUGAAAUCCCAGAGCUUAACUUUGGAACUGCAUUUUUAACUACCGGGCUAGAGUGUGUCAGAGGGAGGUGGAAUUCCGCGUGUAGCAGUGAAAUGCGUAGAUAUGCGGAGGAACACCGAUGGCGAAGGCAGCCUCCUGGGAUAACACUGACGCUCAUGCACGAAAGCGUGGGGAGCAAACAGGAUUAGAUACCCUGGUAGUCCACGCCCUAAACGAUGUCAACUAGCUGUUGGGGCCUUCGGGCCUUGGUAGCACAGCUAACGCGUGAAGUUGACCGCCUGGGGAGUACGGUCGCAAGAUU
rnacentral:rRNA from 1 species